AUGGUCCAGCAUUUGAUAUGCCCUUGUAGGCUAUCCUACGAUAUAGCUGCCAAUAAGACUAGGCUGGCCUGAGCCUCUGGUAAUGGAAUUGUUUAGCUUUAUACCAAGAGGAGUGAGACAGCACCAAAAUCUGGGUAUGGGAUGUGCUCAGGCCGACCAGGAGAGGUUUAUGCCAUGAGACCUAAAAUUCUUAACAUGCUGUCUAAAACAAACAAAAGCAUGUUAGCAGGGCCCGUGGUGCUUCGAUGUGCACUAAAUAUAUCUGUGACAAGAUCAGUGUGCUUUUCUUAGUGAGGAGCAGAAAAUCACUGUGAAAGCAUUGAAGGCUUGGGCAGAGUCACA
rnacentral:lncRNA from 1 species